GACGAACGCUGGCGGCGUGCCUAAUACAUGCAAGUCGACCUUAGUGGCGAACGGGUGAGUAACACGUGGGUAACCUGCCCAUCAGAAGGGGAGAACACUUGGAAACAGGUGCAAAUCCCGUAUAUUGAUGGAUGGACCCGCGGUGCAUUAGCUAGUUGGUGAGGUAACGGCUCACAAAGGCCACGAUGCCUAGCCGACCUGAGAGGGUGAUCGGCCACAUUGGGACUGAGACACGGCCCAGACUCCUACGGGAGGCAGCAGUAGGGAAGAUUCGGCAAUGGACGAAAGUCUGACCGAGCAACGCCGCGUGAGUGAAGAAGGUUUUCGGAUCGUAAAGCUCUGUUGUUAGAGAAGCGGUAUCUAACCAGAAAGCCACGGCUAACUACGUGCCAGCAGCCGCGGUAAUUC
rnacentral:rRNA from 1 species